rfam:TPA: Bos taurus chromosome 1, whole genome shotgun sequence.
UCCCUGGUGGCUCAGACAGUAAAGCAUCUGCCUACAAUGCAGGAGACCCAGGUUCAAUCCCUGGGUUGGGAA